AGUGAACGCUGGCGGUAGGCCUAACACAUGCAAGUCGAACGGCAGCACAGUAAGAGCUUGCUCUUACGGGUGGCGAGUGGCGGACGGGUGAGGAAUACAUCGGAAUCUACUUUUUCGUGGGGGAUAACGUAGGGAAACUUACGCUAAUACCGCAUACGACCUACGGGUGAAAGCAGGGGAUCUUCGGACCUUGCGCGAUUGAAUGCGCCGAUGUCGGAUUAGCUAGUUGGCGGGGUAAAGGCCCACCAAGGCGACGAUCCGUAGCUGGUCUGAGAGGAUGGUCGGCCACACUGGAACGGGGACACGGUCCAGAGUCCUACGGGAGGCAGCAGUGGGGAAUAUUGGACAAUGGGCGCAAGCCUGGUCCAGCCAUACCGCGUGUGUUAAGAAGGCGUUCGGGUUGUAAAGCCCUUUUGUUGGGAAAGAAAAGCAGCAGGUUAAUACCCCGCUGUUCUGACGGUACCCAAAGAAUAAGCACCGGCUAACUUCGUG
rnacentral:rRNA from 1 species